UUUUUUUCCUUCAGAAAAUAUUUUGCGAUCCCCUUGGUCAGAAAGAUACUUCUGCAGAAUGCAAUUCUGGGCUAAUUGGAAUGGUAAGAGAUGAAUCAUAUACUAAUACUCAAAGAUAUGUUUCUAAGAUUCUUAUGUUGCAUUACUUAGGUCUAUAUUUUGUUUCUAUUCUAUUCUUAAAUCUUAAUUAUUUGAUGUUUCAGAAUUUUUUUUAUGUUUACAUGUUUGAUAUGGUACAUGAUGAAACCAACUUCAUGAUGAUGUAUUCAUAUUCUUGUUAAAGGAGGAAUCAUGAAAAUAAUUAAUUUGAAUUGAAUAUAAAAUUAAGUCUGAAUUAGAAUGUUAUAUUCGUCUAAAUGUAUCCAUUUACAUUGUAUUUUCUUUCUUAUGUCACAGAAUUAAAAAUUGAAUCGCGUCAUAACAUCCAUGAAAUUUUCUUUUCCAUCCUAAAUUUUCUCUAACAAUUAUCAUAAAACUAUUUUCUUGGUGAUGAAGGAACUUGAAACUGCAUUUUCUUCUCAAUCACAGCCGGCUUUUCCAAAUCCUCCUCAUGAUUCACUUCCAGAUUUUGACGCUGCUUUACCAUCUCCAACUUUAGAAGAGAUCCUAGGAUACAACGGGACACAAAAUGCACUUGUGGAAAUGGAAGCAAGCACUUAUCAGCAGGAGAAAGUGAUAAGCUGCAGUGCGAAUACUGGAAACACUUAUCAGCAAGCUGGAA
rnacentral:lncRNA from 1 species